UACGGAGGAUGCGAGCGUUAUCCGGAUUUAUUGGGUUUAAAGGGUGCGUAGGCGGCUUUUUAAGUCAGCGGUGAAAUUUUGCAGCUUAACUGUAACAGUGCCGUUGAUACUGGGGAGCUAGGAUUUGGUUGCUGUGGGUGGAAUGCGUGGUGUAGCGGUGAAAUGCUUAGAGAUCACACAGAAUAUCGAUUGCGAAGGCAGCUCACAAAGCCAAGAUUGACGCUGAGGCACGAAAGUGUGGGGAUCAAACAGGAUUA
rnacentral:rRNA from 1 species